rnacentral:rRNA from 1 species
GAUAAACGCUAGCGGCAGGCUUAACACAUGCAAGUCGAGGGGCAGCAUAGAUUGUAGCAAUACAAUUGGUGGCGACCGGCGCACGGGUGCGUAACGCGUAUGCAACCUACCCGUCACAGGGGGAUAAUCCGGAGAAAUCUGGUCUAAUACCCCAUAACAUAUGGAUCGGCAUCGGUUCAUGUUGAAAUUUUCGGAGGUGACGGAUGGGCAUGCGUAGCAUAGCUUGUUGGUGAGGUAACGGCUCACCAAGGCGACGAUGGUUAGGGGGACUGAGAGGUUUUCCCCCCACACUGGUACUGAGACACGGACCAGACUCCUACGGGAGGCAGCAGUGAGGAAUAUUGGCCAAUGGGCGCAAGCCUGAACCAGCCAUGCCGCGUGCAGGAUGACGGCUCUAUGAGUUGUAAACUGCUUUUGUACGAGGGUAAAGUGGGUUACGCGUAACCUUUUGAAAGUAUCGUACGAAUAAGGAUCGGCUAACUCCGUGCCAGCCGCCGCAGUAA